rnacentral:tRNA from 1 species
AGUGGUUUAGUGGUAAAAUCCAUCGUUGCUCAUCGAUGGKCCCCCGGUUCGAUUCCGGG